rnacentral:rRNA from 1 species
GACGAACGCUGGCGGCGUGCUUAACACAUGCAAGUCGAACGAAGAGCGAUGGAAGCUUGCUUCUAUCAAUCUUAGUGGCGAACGGGUGAGUAACGCGUAAUCAACCUGCCCUUCAGAGGGGGACAACAGAUGGAAACGACUGCUAAUACCGCAUACGAUCUAACCUCGGCAUCGAGGAUGGAUGAAAGGUGGCCUCUAUUUAUAAGCUAUCACUGAAGGAGGGGAUUGCGUCUGAUUAGCUAGUUGGAGGGGUAACGGCCCACCAAGGCGAUGAUCAGUAGCCGGUCUGAGAGGAUGAACGGCCACAUUGGGACUGAGACACGGCCCAGACUCCUACGGGAGGCAGCAGUGGGGAAACUUCCGCAAUGGACGAAAGUCUGACGGAGCAACGCCGCGUGAGUGAUGACGGCCUUCGGGUUGUAAAGCUCUGUUAAUCGGGACGAAAGGCCUUCUUGCGAAUAGUUAGAAGGAUUGACGGUACCGGAAGAGAAAGCCACGGCUAACUACGUG